AUGCUUUGCUUGCAGGUUUUUGACUCCAAAAUUCAGCGUGCCAUCCUGAGCCUUUUCCCUCUCCACAUGCUUCAUGCAGUUGUACUUUUGCAGUCUGCAGCCUUUUCCAAGAUGAUUAAAAAGAAAGAAUACAGAUGUGGUUUGGAGAUAGAGUUGGAAAAAAGCAGAAGUCCUGUUUCCAUAAGAGAUAGAGAAGGAAAAAGGCAUCUUUCAACAGAAGCAAGAAUAUGAGUAUAGACUUCAAGCAAGAAUGACUCUUUUGAGAGUAAAGAGUAAGAUGCUGUUGCCCUUCUACCUAGUUCUUUCCAUGGCUCUCAUCUUACUCAGAAUAAAGUAAAAAUCUUACCAUGGUGUGAUGGAUUCAGUUGUUCUUCCCAAUUCUCUGCUUCACAGUCAUAGAACUGUGCAUCCACACCUUUGUUAUGGUCUCAAGAACAGCUGUCAUUGACUUUAAGUUUUUCCAAAUGACUUGUUUAGGCCAAUGGGAUAUUAGCAGGUAAGACACAAGCAGAAGUUUGAAACGAGCUUGCAUCGUUACACUUACUCUCCUUGAACUCUGUGAUACGCUGUGUGAAGGAGAUGCCCGAGGUAGCCACUCACCAUUCAGCCUAGGUCCCAGAUUAAGCAUAUAUGGAGCAAACCUGGGAAUAAGGCCAGCUCACCCACUGCCUGAAAAAAAAAAUCACCAAGCCAAGCCCAGUAAAGAACAGAUGACUCACAGUCAACCUGAAGACCUAUAGCGAUAGCAUAAAUCAUUGUUAUAAGCCACUGAGGGAAUUAUUGAAACAGACAGUGGAAUGAUUAAUUACUCCAUUCCAGAAACAUUUAUUGAACACACAUUACAGCAGGGCACUGUAUUAGGUGAUUCAUGUGAUACAAAGCUGAACACCAUUGUGUUCCUUCUUUCAAAAUGCUUGCAGUAUUGUAAGGAAAAAUGGAUUAUUUUGCUUCACCAAUAGGGACUGAGGAGAGUAAUACUGGAGGCAGACUUGGUUGGAAGGAAAUCUAGGCAAGAGAUGAUGUAGGCUUUGAGAUAGGACAGUGGCAGUGGGAACAUAUCAAUUCAAUACACAGCACACAUCUACUCAUCAGACACUCUGCAAUGUGCUGUCAAUAAAAUGAUAACAUUUAUAUGAUUUCUGGGCUUCAGAAACUUACAAUCUAGUGAAGAAAAACAAGUUAAAGAGCAAGUAUAAUAGGAUAAAGAAAUGCCAUUAUACAGAAAUUUUCAAUUUUCUAUUUAAACAGCCAAAGAACCUUUUUUAUUUAUCCAUUCAUCUUUCUCUUAUAACAAUAAACAGUAAAUACCUGGAAUAUUCCAGGCACCAUAAAUUGCUGAUUUUGAAGGAUUAGUAAUAGGAGAUCUGCAGUAAGAAAAAAUGGAGAGAAUGGAGAUGGGUGAGAUGUUCCAUAUGGUGGAUACAGCACUACAGAGGCCAAGGACAUGACAAGGCGUGUUGAGCUUGUUGAAGACUUUUUGGUUCAGUUUGAUCUGAGCAGUGACUUCUGAGGCUGGCUAUAGGUUAAAUCAAGUCAAAAACAUAAAGUAACUUUUUAUUUUAUUAGUUUAUACUCUUAUGAUAGUAGUGAAG
ensembl:lncRNA